AGAAGCCCCGGCUAACUACGUGCCAGCAGCCGCGGUAAUACGUAGGGGGCAAGCGUUAUCCGGAUUCAUUGGGCGUAAAGCGCUCGUAGGCGGUCUGUUAGGUCGGGAGUUAAAUCCGGGGGCUCAACCCCCGUUCGCUCCCGAUACCGGCAGACUUGAGUUUGGUAGGGGAAGGUGGAAUUCCUAGUGUAGCGGUGGAAUGCGCAGAUAUUAGGAAGAACACCAGUGGCGAAGGCGGCCUUCUGGGCCAUAACUGACGCUGAGGAGCGAAAGCUAGGGGAGCAAACAGGAUUAGAUACCCUGGUAGUCCUAGCCGUAAACGAUGGACACUAGGUGUGGGGGAAUAUUUCUUCCGUGCCGCAGCUAACGCAUUAAGUGUCCCGCCUGGGGAGUACGGCCGCAAGGCUAAAACUCAAAGGAAUUGACGGGGACCCGCACAAGCAGCGGAGCAUGUGGUUUAAUUCGAAGCAACGCGAAGAACCUUACCAGGGCUUGACAUUUAGGUGAAGCGGCGGAAACGUCGUGGCCGAAAGGAGCCUAAACAGGUGGUGCAUGGCUGUCGUCAGCUCGUGUCGUGAGAUGUUAGGUUAAGUCCUGCAACGAGCGCAACCCUCGUCGUAUGUUGCCAGCGGUUAGGCCGGGCACCCAUACGAGACCGCCGGCGUCAAGCCGGAGGAAGGUGGGGACGACGUCAAGUCAUCAUGCCCCUUAUGUCCUGGGCUACACACGUGCUACAAUGGCCGGCACAAUGGGCUGCCAACCCGCGAGGGUGAGCGAAUCCCUAAAGCCGGUCCCAGUUCGGAUUGGAGGCUGCAACCCGCCUCCAUGAAGUCGGAGUUGCUAGUAAUCGCGGAUCAGCACGCCGCGGUGAAUGCGUUCCCGGGCCUUGUACACACCGCCCGUCACACCACGAGAGUUUGUAACACCC
rnacentral:rRNA from 1 species